rnacentral:rRNA from 1 species
GAUGAACGCUGACAGAAUGCUUAACACAUGCAAGUCGAUGGGAAGUGGUGCUUGCACCAUGGUAACCAUGGCGGACGGGUGAGUAACGCGUAAGGAACUUGCCUGCGGGACUGGGAUAACAGCAGGAAACUGCUGAUAAUACCGGAUAAGGUCAUUAAGCUGCAUAGCUUAGUGAUGAAAGGAGACGCCUGCGGAGAGCCUUGCGUCCUAUUAGCUAGUUGGAGGGGUAACGGCCCACCAAGGCGAAGAUAGGUAGCCGGCCUGAGAGGGUGGACGGCCACAAGGGGACUGAGAUACGGCCCUUACUCCUACGGGAGGCAGCAGUGGGGAAUAUUGGACAAUGGGGGCAACCCUGAUCCAGCAAUUCUGUGUGCACGAAGACGGUUUUCGGAUUGUAAAGUGCUUUCAGCAGGGAAGAAGGAAGUGACGGUACCUGCAGAAGAAGCGACGGCUAAAUACGUG